UAUGCACAUUGUUAGAGCUUGGAGUUGAGGCCAUUAACUGGCUGAUGAACUCGCAAGUGUAGGUAGUGUGCUACAUGAGGGGCAAGUUUUUCGCUAACACUCCAUUCUGACCUAGUGAGUGGAGUUUGAUAGUAAUCCUUGCUACAAGU
ensembl:snoRNA SNORA62 Small nucleolar RNA SNORA62/SNORA6 family